UGGAAUAUAGAAUUACCACAACAUGGCACAGUUUACCAGUGCUGCACAGCCCUGUGACUCUCAAGUUUGAUUCUGGGGUCCAAGGCUUACUGAUGAAAGUGAAUGAUCCUUUCUUUGAUGAUCCCAGCACUACCAGGCGAAGCAGGACUGCCUUUUGAUGGAGUAUGAAGAGUUUCCAGAUACCUCAUGCUACUCAUCCCACGUAUCUGAAAAUGCAGUGACAUGGAAAGAUGAGGUCAAAAACUGUGUGACCUGGAACUGAGAUUUUUGGAAUGAACAGUCUAUAUCUGUUGUUGAAUCGUUUUUGUUCGAACAGCAAGACUAAACAGCACCUGGAGGUGGAACUCUGCCUGCACGGACAGCACCUGGUACUACUGCUCUCCAACAGGGAUUCAUUUACAUAAGAGCCAAGUUCACAAUUUAAAGUCAACACUACCUGGAACCGGUGG